AGCCUUGACUGGAUGGUCGAUGGUCUUCUGUAGCAAGAAGUAUCCUCUGUUCAAUGCUGCCUUUGGAUUUGCUUUUUGGGAAGCUGUAGGAUAGAUGAUCUACCCUCUUGACUAAAACUUAGGAAAUCCAGGGCAAUUAAGAAACAUUCAGCUGAUGCCAGGACACCUCCUAAAGGAAUCUGGGCUCUUUCUUCACCCACCACUCAAAGAAGUACAUUACUAUCAUACAUGGAAGGACAUUGGAUUUAAC